AGUGAAGAUAGAGGUGCGGAUACCAAUAGUAAAUCUCCGGAAGGCGGCAGCCUGAUGAACGGGAUUGAAAGGAGUAUUCGCCGAAGCGGACCAAUCGGCUGUCACGAUUGUCCUGCUGGAUUUCCAUUGAAUAAAUGGAAGUCUGUCAGGUAUAAAAAUACCUGGAGAGCUAUCUGAACG
rfam:Sporosarcina psychrophila strain DSM 6497, complete genome.